rnacentral:lncRNA from 1 species
GUGGCUUCUGGAGUCUUCUAGAUGGUAGAAAAUUGCACGGUGCGUUGAUAUCUCUAUGUAAUCCCGACAUGUGGGUCUUUCUUCCUUAUUUCCUGAUACCCCCCUACAGAAAUAGACAAACACCAAAACUCGUGGAAUUCUGUCAGAUAAAACCCUAAGUCUGGGUGUUGGUUGCAUUUGGAUCCUUUUCUUUAUUUAUUGAUGAUUAUAUUUGGUACUUAAGGACCGUCAACAACUCCCCCAAGCUUACCUCUUGCUCGUCCCUGAGCAUGGCUGGACUCAAAAGUUUCUGCAGUGGUUUCAUGCCUUAAGAGUACACACGCAUUCAAGCAAGAUCUCAUCUCUGAGUUAGAGUAAACUGUUAAGACUUAAAAACUUACUCAUUUUACCUUUCACCAUGGGGCUUGUAACCGUCACUUGUGUCUUGAGCAGUUAAAAGAUAGAACGGUCAAGUCAAGCACCAUGUCUCUUAUUUUUGAUCAGCUAUAGGUCUGGAGUUUUUGCAGAUUUUCAAAUAAAACUUAGAAAUUCCUUGUAUGACUCUCUCAGAUCUCUCUUUUGUGGUAUUUCUGGAUCCUUACCAAGGCAGUAAUGGUAUAUGCCUUCUCUCAAAGUAUGUAGUAUUUGUGGUAUGAGGCAUAGUGAUAUUGCCUUCUCUCUCACCCUACUCUAAUAAGGUUUUGAUAUCUGGAUCUCAUAGGUGGGAGACAGCUAAUACAUACUUACAAGACAUUUAUUGCAUAGUCAAACCAUGGAUCCAGAGAAACAAGUCAAUAAGUCAAAUCAAGAUGUGCAUGUGUGGCGAGUGAGUGGUGUAUGGUGAUGAUGGUGAUAACAAUGGUGAAAGUAAUGGUGAAAGCAAUGGUGAAAGUCUAAUUCUACGUUUGCUCUUUUAAGGGCAUACAUACCUUUCUUGCACUUUGAAGCUUUUUGGGGAGAAUGAGAUGCUCUAUAUUUUCUUUUUCUUUCCUCUCAGGUGGGUAUCUUGUACCCCUAAUUCUACUGUCGGACACUUGUCUAUUUUUACCUCUCGUCUCACUUUUUCUUUUCGUCGAGGUUCCGAGCACUUGCCCCUUUUUAUUUCCUCGUAUUUUUUUUCUCUUUUUCUUUUUCUUUUUAGAGCACUCAUCUCCUGAAAUAAUAUAGCAAGUAGUAGUAACCAAGAUAACUCGAGCAUUUAUUCCACAGGGAAAAACAGAAAUAUUUUUGGCCAUUCUUUCCCGGAUUAGGAGUAGAAUGUUUUUGGGUGGUUCUGGAGAUGGAAAUGAGUGGAUAUAUGUGGAUGGUACUUCCGGAGUAGAAGUAGCAUGUAUGAGUGAACGUGUAAGUGAAUCUUGAUUUUAACCACAUGACAAGCUCCUAAGGGUCUACACAACUUGACCACACUCAAUGCUCAUAAGCAGUAGGAAGUAAAUGUGCGGCUCAAAGUCUAAUAAGCAUGUAUAUAUGGCUGUGGUAGGAUUUUAAACUCUCAUCAUACACGAACACAUCAUGUGAUAUUUUAAAGAUUUUUUCAAAGAUAAAAUUCUCCAGAAUUCUAGCAUCUCUAGGAACAGAUAAAUAGCAACUCAACCUUCCCAUAUCAAAUCCGUUAACAACUUAGACUUUGGAUCAAGUACUCUUCCCACAAGUUCAGGUUUAGAGCAAAUCUUACUUCAUAACAGUCAUGCCUAAACUUGAGAGAGAUUUCAAUUUUAAGAACUAGUCAUGGUAGAGCAACUAUUCAUCAUUUCCAUGUGAGAGUUUAUCAUGAGAGUUCAUAGCAAACUUUAUUUAUUUAUUUAUUUAGCAAACUAAGCAAAGUUAUUUAUAUAAAAGCACAAAAUAUUUAUUUGGGUUUUCAUGAUUAUGCAUCUUUUACUAUUUGAGUAAAGUAUAAAUGCGAGUAGAAACACUUAGCUGGAUAAAUGGGGGUGCUCUCCCCCAAGUUGGAUUUUGAUGUAAUUUCUUCUGAUGUAGCUAGCAGGUGGUGGAGGUGUAUUUGAAAGUCGGCAGCACCCUGACAGCGAUUAGGAUGUCCUCCGUCUGCUAGUCUUCUUUGAUCCUUGAAUUCUGUGAAGCUCAAAUAGACAACAAAGCUUUGUGGAACUGGUUAAGUGUUAGCAUAAAUAUCUAGCCUUUAUCAUGUUGAGCCUCCUCAAUAAAUGUUACUUAUUUAGCAGGAUCAUGCACUUAUUAUUUUUAUAUUUUUUAUUGUAAGAUGAAAACUUAUUUAUUUUAUUUUUAUGCCACCACAGUGAAUGUACUUAUGGGUUUUAUGCCAUGAGCAUACUCACAUGGGGCUUACUAUUUUUUAACAUUUUUAUUUUCCUUUCAAGAUAGCAUGAACCUGAUUAACUAAGCAAACUAUAAUUGAAUAAUUGAAAGGAAAAGGAUAACUACCAAGUUUACCUCCUGGCAAGGCGUUCGACGCUUUUAAGUCCUCCGAACGGGACUCCUUGUGUUUUCAGUCGUCCUAGGAUUCGCUAGGUGGCGUAGUCGGUGAUUCUAGCGGCGUCCCUUCUUCAUGUAUAACUAUCUUCUUCUCUCCACACCUGACUCGGUGCUACGGUCUCCUCAGGACAGUUCUGUUCAAGCUAUAUGUCUUCAGACCUUACUACUUCUCCUUCGUACUCUGCCCAUCUGUCCUUGAUGAUUUGCCUCCUCUGGUUGCGGUUGCGUUGUCUUCUUCUUGUCCUGACCUGCUUAGAGUCUUCAACUAAAUAGUUAGGGUCAGUAAAAUAACGGCGUACCUUCUCAGAGGGGAAGUGCAUGUGGACUUCUCCGGUUCCAAUAUAGAUGAUAACUUUGAUAGUGUUGAGGAACGGUCUUCCAAGGAUGAUGGGUGGAUCGUACUCGUCUUCUCCCAUGUCAAUGACCUGAAAAUCAUCUGGAGCUGAAUGUAUAUUGGUUGUAGGGGCAUGGUUCCAUGCAGGAGCUGAUAAGUGACUACGCCCAUUAUGUUAUCGUCAGAUCCGUUGUCGUAGAGUGUCUUCUGAAAAGAGUAUCCACUGAUUGUGCACUCGAUGCUUGGAACACCAGGGUCGUCCUUCUUGAUCAGGAAAGGUGACUUGAGUCGACGAUCUUGACCUCCUCCGACAAGGAUCCAAUGUUUUAAGUCUUCUGCACAGGACUUCCAACCGUCUUCAUCCUUUACGUGUAUCAUUUGAUUAGUUGUGGACCUUGACGUCUGCACCUCUUGAUACGGAGUCACCCAUGUUCUUCAUUUGCCCAACAGUUCGAAGUGCGGUGUUGGCAAUAUCCUGCUCAGUGUGUUUGUGCUCAUAGAUCCAGGUCCUUCACUUGGUGGAGUCUGGGAGUUGUAAAACUCCUCCAUGUUUUGCUUGAAGUGUACCUAUUCAUAGAGACAGGCAGAGAUCAAGUACAUGGGCCCUGUUGGUGGAAAACACCAACAGUACUAAAAGUGUAUUUGUUCUUCUCUAACCUUAAGCAUAGUGAACAAGACAAAGUUGAUGGAUCAUGAGUGUAGCAUUUGAAACAUUUGUCAGAUCAGAUGGCUCAACCUAAUGGAAAGAUAAUCUAUCUAUGUAUAUAUCUUUUUCUUUAUAUCUUCCUAAAGAUUGAAUGUGCAACAUAUUUGCUUAUAUGAUUAGGAGUGUGGGAUCAUGAAGGUAGUACUAAGAACAAAGAUUAAAGGACUAAACAUGUUGAAUUAAUUGGGUUGGUUAAUUUGUGUUUGUCUCUUUAUUCAUGUGAACGCCAGAACCAAGGAGAAGCUUAUAAAAGUGAUAGUCAAGUACCUUAAGAUGUUACCUUACUUGAAGAGUGAUGGUAUAGUAUCACCUUGUGGAAGCUUUCCUUUGUUAGUGGUUGUGCAUCGUGUUUGCGGCACCCUCCAUGGAUCAUCUCUUGAUGAUGAAUGAGCUAUGUCCUUCUUGUGGAAAUUGUUAAACUUCAUGUAUCUCCUUUAUCUCCAAUGAGCUUGUCUCUCAGGACUUCCCAAGUUGAUAUUGAAAGUUUUCCUGCAGGGGUUAGUCCGACAAACUAUACCAAUGUCUACUCAAGCAGUUUUUAGUUCAGUAACCAAACUAGACUCCAUGUCUAAUGAGAUUAAGGAAGGCUGUUUAACCUAAGCACCAUGCUUAAUUUAAAUGCCAAUGGAAGUAUGUCGAGUACUUUCAAACCAACACUUACUAGGAUAAACAAAGGCAGCAUGAUGGCAUUUAUAGAGAUCUACUCAAGUGGAGAUGAAGUAGUGUGAUUAGUAUUUAAUAAAUUGAGCAUGUCUCAAAGGUAAGGACAACCAACAUAGCAACAUGGCAAAGGAUGUUUUUAUGUAAAGUACUCCCCCAAGCUUGAAUUUUGCAAAAUUCAAGAUUGGAUGAAUUUAAUUUAAUGUUGCAUGAUGAUUGGUUGGGCAUACCUUGCGCUUGUCAUUCAUAUGAUCUUCUUACUCCAAUCCUAGAAAGGUUAGUGGCAAGAAUACCCAAAGGAAUAUUUCUACAAUCAUCUUUAUAUGCUCAAUACACAAGGCAAUGUUGCAAAUAAUUAAAAGUUCAUAUUACGGUCUGAUAAGUGCUUGUUUUAGGACACUAAGCUUGUCCUUGGGAAACCAUCAAAUUAUGUCGGCGAAGUGGUUUCCCCUCCAACGCUGACCUAUAUCAAGAUCAACUCAAUGAGAUCUGCAAUAUUUAUUAUAGACAUAUGCAUCGACAACCGCUCUUUUAAAGUUUUUAUAAAUAGAAAAGAAGAGAGGGUUGGAGAUCUCAAAUGUGGUGAGGUUGGAGAGACCAAUUGAUUGGGGAGAUGUUUUAUAUGAGCAAGGACUAGGUAAGGUAUUUAUGAAAUAACUUCCAUGCUCACUGUUGUUUCUCUCAUUCUCAAACUCCAAGGAUGAUUCUUCAUGAAUGCUUAAAAUUUCUCUAGGAUUGUCUCUCAAGUUUGUUUUAUCUAUCCACUCAAUGGUGAUAGCACAUGGAUUUUUAAUGCCCUCUAGCCAUUGAUGUUGCUCUUCUCGAUCCUCCGUGUGGUCUUGGUGACUUUUAUGCAUGGGCUGUCUAGAGAGAUUCAUAGGAUCAUCGGGAGGUUCAAGAGAAAGAGCAUAGUAGAAAUUAUUAAGCUCAAGGAUGGGAUGGAUAGCCGAAUCAUGGGAUUGGAAUGUUUGGAAAUCGGCUAUCGAAACUUCCUUUCCUUAUUUGGGAGAUGAUUCCUUCUCUAUCUCUAAGAUUUUUCUAUGAAGACUAGUACAAUAAGGAUGUCCACAAAUGAAGACAUACCUUACUUUACUAAAAGAUAAAGAAAGAAAGGCUCUACCAAAGGUUAUAUGAUUAAGACCAAUGUGAAAAUAUCGAGAAAAAACAUGGUCUUGUAGGGCUAGGUCUGAACCAGAAUUUAUAGAAAGAUUAACAGAUUCCCUAGGUGUAGCUAAAAGUGCAUUAUCUUCUUGAUUAAAAGAAAGGACCUCGGCUAUAGAAAAGGGUUGGUUUUGACCUAUUGCAAUCAACUCCGGACACAGAUCAUAAUUAAGGGCAGGACUUGUUGACUCCCGUGGUCUAUGGCUGGUCUCCGAAGGUGCAAAGAAUUCAAUAAUAGGUAUGGAAUUUAAGUUAUCCAUAAAGAUAAAAAUAAAAAGAUAAAAGAAUAAAAGUAUAAAAGUAUAAUACAAGAUAAUAGCAAGACUUAAAGUUAUCUCAGCAAACCGUCUUUUUCCCUGGCAACGGCGCUAGAAAUGCUUGUUGAUAUUUGGUAACGCAAUAAGGAAAUGAUCCGCAAGCGCACGGAUAUCGGUGAGCAUUUCACCCGGGAGGUUAUCCAGAGUUAUCGUAUUUAUAUUUUUACCACUGGGAGAAAGGGUGCAUCUGACUAACCAAAUUUAUUGCUACUAUCCCUUUAGGCUACAAAGAAUGUUUCUCGAUGUGAGUGAUGUAUAGAGAAGACUGCAACCGUAGUCUCGUUCUAACCUUCGUAAGGAUGAUCUAUUGUUCUAUUGGGGAAGCUAACGGAAUCUAGACACCACAAAGGAUGUUCAACCCGCACCUAUAAACCUACCCGUCCUGCUAACAAGAUAUGGGAUACAAAGGUAACUCGGAAAUGUCACGUUCCUCACUACUACGACGGUCCAGCUAAUCAGGGGAUAUCUAUGAGUACCCUAGCCUAAACGCCACAUUUACGCUAGCAAUGAUUACUCUAAUACUCAACCGGAAGAGGAUUAAAGUAAUCUCAUAAACCAAAGAACAAUAAAACAAGAACUUACUAGAAUUAAAAGUCGAAUUACUGAAGAAUCUUAGAAGCAAGCCUCGGGUUAGAAGACUUGAUCCCGCAGGUACAACUCAGAGUAGACACAGACAGGCCGGCCUUCCUCCAAUCUACACCUCCACUCUAUCUCUCUCAAUCUAGUAGAAACUAGAAGAUCUAUUUCUACUUACAUUGGUUGCUAAGCCUAAAAUAAAUUUUAUUUAUAGAAGAGGUUUUCCUUCGAGGGCACCCCUCAACUCUAUGAUAAACUUGUCUCCUCCAGGGGCCAGGGGCCUUGCUUAUAUAGUCCUUGAUCCUUUAUGUAACUCUGUAUCUUUUUCAUUUUUGGGUCGGUAGGCGAUGUGGUACUACAUUAUCCUUGAUCCUUUAUGUCGGUGGAACGUCGUGUGCGAAGAGAGUUCUGAACGGAGUCCAGAGGUGGGCGGGCGCCCAGGUCCUCAGGGCGGGCGCCCUGGGCCUGGCCCCUUUCGACCUCUGCUUUCUUCCCGUGGCUUCUGGAGUCUUCUAGAUGAUAGAAAAUUACGCGGUGCGUUGAUAUCUCUAUGUAAUCCCGACAUGUGGUCAUUUCUUCCUUAUUUCCUGAUAACCCCCUGCAGAAAUAGACAAACAUCAAAACUCAUGGAAUUCUGUCAGAUAAAACCCUAAGUCUGGGUGUUGGUUGCAUUUGGAUCCUUUUCUUUAUAUAUUUGAUGAUUAUAUUUGGUACUUAAGGACCGUCAACAAGCGUUACCAGGAGCCGAUCGACUUAUCCGAUAGGGACCCUCCCAAUUGGGAGACCACUUCCCAAAUUUUGAACUCUUAGUCCCGAUCGGUAGAAUUAAUUUCCACACUAAGUCUCCAUCGGCGAACUCCUUAGUCUUUACUUUCUUAUCAUACCAUCUGGCAACCCUCUUCUUAUUCUCUUCUAUACUCAUCAAGGCCUUCAGCCGAUGUCCUGCUUGAUCAUCCAACUCGUCUGUCAUCAAAGUAGCAUAAUCAUCGGCAGCCAAUUGAUCUUGGAAAGAUAUUCGCCUAGACCCAGCUUUAAUUUCCAAAGGUAGCACUGCAUCAUGCCCAUACACCAAUUGAUAAGGUGAAACUUUGGUUGAUCCAUGACAAGCCAUCCGGUAUGACCACAAGGCUUCAUUCAACAACGUAUGCCACCUCCUAGGAUUUUCGUCAAUCUUUCGCUUGAUAAGCUUGAUAAUCCCUUUGUUAGAUGCCUCGGCCUGCCCUUUAGCCUGUGCAUAAUAGGUAGAAGAAUUUAAUACUUUAAUUCCCAUACCGAUUGCAAAUUCAUCAAAUUCCCCUGACGUGAACAUAGUGCCCUGAUCUGUAGUAAUCGUCUAAGGAAUUCCAAAUCGAUAAAUGAUGUGCUCUUCCACAAAAUCAAUCAUAUUGGCCGAUGUGACUUUCUUCAAAGGAAUAGCUUCAACCCAUUUGGUGAAAUAAUCGGUGGCAACUAAAAUAAACUUAUGUCCUUUGCUAGACGGUGGAUAAAUCUAGCCGAUCAAAUCAAUAGCCCAUCCUCGGAACGGCCAAGGAUUCAUAGCCGAUGCGGGCGCCCUUUGAAUAUUGCCAAACUUUUGACAUCCUUGACACCCUUUGAAAUACUUAAAGCAAUCCUCAAGUAUAGUCGGCCAAUAAUAUCCAUUCCUCCUAAUCAUCCACUUCAUCUUAAAAGCCGACUGAUGUGCUCCACAUACCCCUUCAUAGAUUUCUCCCAUCAAACUCCUAGCUUCAUCAUCACCUAAGCAUCGGAGAAGAAUCCCAUCAAUAGUUCGAUAAUACAAUUCAUCUUCGAGGAGCACAUACUUGGUGGCUUGAAACCGAAUCCGUCUUUCAACUUUCUUAGAUGGAUCCUUCAAAUAAUCAAUGAUUUUUUUUCUCCAAUCAUCGGCACCGAUUGCCGAUAUUGCAUUAAUCAUAGGCUGAUAUCCCGAGGCUUGCUGAGCCAACCGAUUGGCCUCUUCAUUAUGCAAUCGAGGAACAUGCUCUAAUCGGAAAUCUUUGAAUUCUUUUAACAGUUGCAUACUCCUUUCGUAAUAAGUUAUGAGAACUUCACUUCGGCAUUCAUAGCUUCCAGCCAAUUGAUUUAUAACUAGCAUAGAAUCCCCAAAGACCUCAACAGCAUCAGCAUGAACUUCCCUUAAUAACUCCAAUCCCUUUAUUAAAGCUUGACACUCAGCCUGAUUAUUCGUUGACAUGGCGACAAUUGGCAAGGAAAACUCAUACUUCCUUCCCCGAGGGGAAACUAAUACUAUGCCGAUUCCUGCCCCCCGGUCACAUGUGGAUCCAUCAAAGAAGAGCGUCCAAGGCACAAUUUCCAAAGCCUCCACUGCACUGCAAUGUUGAGUUACAAAAUCGGCCAUAAUCUGUCCCUUAACUGCCUUAGCCGAUUCGUAACGCAGAUCAAAUUCUGACAGAGCCAAGAUCCAUUUACCGAUCCUGCCACUCAUAAUCGGCAUAGACAGCAUGUACAGGACCACAUCAUCUUUGCAAAUAACAGUGCAUUCGGCUGAUAGCAAGUAGUGCCUUAACUUGAUACAAGAGAAAUACAAGCACAAGCAUAGUUUCUCAAUAGCCGAAUACCUGGUCUCAGCAUCAAUCAACCUCCUGCUUAAGUAAUAAAUUACAUGCUCUUUCCCUUCAAAUUCUUGAAUUAAAGCCGAACCGAUGACCAUCCCAUCGGUAGACAAAUACAAUCGGAAGGGCUUCCCUUGCUGAGGUGGAAUUAGAACUGGAGGAUUCACUAAAUAAUUCUUGAUUUCAUCCAGAGCCAACUGUUGUUCUUUUUCCCAAACAAAUUCUUGAUCGGCCUUUAACUUAAGAAGAGGGCUAAAAGCAUGAAUUUUACCAGACAAAUUAGAUAUAAAUCUUCUGAUAAAAUUUACCUUGCCGAUCAAGGACUGGAGCUCAGUCUUGUUGGUAGGGGCAACUAUUUUGUUGAUGGCUUCAAUAGAUCUUCGAAUAAUUUCAAUUCCCCUUUGAUGCACCAUGAAACCAAGAAACUUCCCUGCCGAUACACCAAAUGCACACUUAUUGGGAUUUAUUUUCAAACCAUGCUUCCUUGUGCAUUCCAACACCUUUCGUAGAUCGGCAAGAUGCUUUGUGAAGUCUCUAGACUUAACCACCACAUCAUCAAUAUAAAUUUCCACCAGCUUGCCGAUGAACUCAUGAAAUAUAAAAUUCAUGGCCCUUUGAUAAGUAGCACCAACAUUCUUUAAGCCAAAGGUCAUGACUAUCCAUUCAAACAACCUGACAUGACCAGGACAUCUAAAUGCGGUCUUUGGAAUAUCCUCUUCUGCCAUAAAUAUUUGAUUAUAUCCUGCAUUGCCAUCCAUAAAGCUAAUAAUCCGAUGCCCAGCCGCAGCAUCAACUAGCAGAUCGGCAACUGGCAUUCGGUAGCCAUCCAUCGGUGUAGCUUUGUUAAGAUUCCUAAAAUCAAUGCAGACCCGAAGCUUCCCGUUCUUCUUGUAAACCGGAACGACAUUGGAAAUGCACUUGGCAUACCGACACUGCCGAAUAAAUUUGGCUUCAAUAAGUUUAGUUAUUUCGGCCUUGAUGUCAGGAAGAAUAUUAGGAUUACAUCGGCGAGCUGGCUGCUGAUGUGGCCGGAAUCCAGACUUGAUAGGCAACCGAUGUUCAACAAUCGAUCGGUCCAAACCAGGCAUCUCAGUAUAAUCCCAAGCAAAGCAAUCUUUAUAUUCCUUUAACAAAUCAGUCAACUGUUGCAUACAUUCUGGACUUAACUUCGCACUAAUAAAAGUAGGUCUAGGUUUAUCACCACUACCUAUAUCUACUUCUACCAAAUCAUCGGCCGAUGUGAACCCCUGGUCUAACUUUCCAUCAUCGGCGAACCAGCCCAUUAAAAACCUUCAUCAAAGCCGACUGCUUGGAUCGGUGGAAUUUCAUAAUCGGCAACCUUGAGAAAAUCCUUUUCCCAAGCUUCUCCUGAAAUACACCUAGUCCUUUCAUAGGUGUCUGCUUCCGCCGAUGCCAUAACAUAUGGAGAGUCUCCUGGGACAAUUUCAAUCUUGUCACCUACCAACUGGACCAAGCACUGGGGCAUUGUAGACGGGAUGCAACAAUUGGCAUGAAUCCAAUCUCUCCCUGGAAACAGAUUGUAGGCACCUUUUCCACUGAUCACGAAGAAGGUCGUCGGCAAGGUUUUGCUGCAGAUGGUCAAUUCUACGCAGAUAGCUCCUUUAACUGGGGACACAUUGCCCUCGAAGUCUUUGAGCAUCAUAUCGGUCUUGGUCAGGUCCUGAUCUCCUUUUCUAAGCUUCCGAUACACUGCAUACGGCAUGAUGUUGAUAGCAGCCCCACCAUCAAUUAAAAUCUUGGUCAUCGGCUGACCAUCAACCCUUCCUUUGACAAACAGAGCCUUAAGAUGUUGCCUUUCAUCAUCGGCAGACUUUUCAAAGAUAGCUGUCAUCGGAUCCAGAGCCAACUGAGCUAUUUGGUCAGAGAAUUCCAACUCAUCAUCACUAGAUGGCGCAAGGAACUCCAUCGGCAACAUAAAGACCAUGUUGACAUCUGCCGAUGGACCUUUCCCCUAAGGAUCUGGUUGUUGCUGAUCCCCAGACUGUGUAGAGUUCUCCCCCUUGCUUAACUCUUCUCGCCUUUCGCGCUGCAGCCUUCUUUUCUAUGUCCUGGUCAAUCCCUCUAGACACCAUGGAGGAAGUUGCUGCUGCCUUACCGCUGGGCGACGAUUUUCCCUUGACUCCAUCCGAUAAGUGUUGGAAUCCCUGCAAAAUAUGAACUCAUCGGGAACCCGUGCAUUAGCCAUUUCUUCAAGUUCUUCCUGGCUCCUGGGAAAAUAUUCAACACGAUCCCCAAGCCUGUCGUGCACACUGAGCCUGCCCCCCAGCCGAUCAUGAACGGAUGCUCUCCCCCUAAUCGGCCAUUAAAUCGCCGAUCAUUAUCACGAUAGUACCGAUGGGACCUGUCAUACCAGUCAUAACCGUUGCACUCAGGACAAACUCUGACAGUGGGAAGUUUGAUAUUUUCCUCCCAACAAUGAAUGAAGAACGGGCAAUUCCAGUGAUCCCUAUGCCGAUUCCACUCCUGUCGGCGUCUUUCCUCUUCCCGACGAUAAUCCUCUUGCUGGCGCCGAUACCGAUCUUCACGUUGCUGCCAAGUCUCCCGAGGCCUCCUGUGAGUUAUCACAAUACCAGAUCGAGGAGGCCUUCCUGAGUUAGCUCCCUCCUGGAUCAAGCCUUUCCCUUUGGCAUCGGCAGUAGUGAUCUGAUGCUGAGGAUCCACCGAUGCACUUCUUUCAUCUGCUUCUGACGUCAAGACCUUGGCCUUUCCCUUAGCAUCCAACAUGUUUGUUGGGAAAGGAUGUUGAUCAAUCUUCAUCGGCUUCUGGGUCAUGGAACUGUCAAAUUUGAUCCUUCCAGAUUCUAUAGCCGAUUGCAGCUGCUGUCUGAAAACCUUGCACUCAUUAGUGUCGUGAGAAGUUGCAUUAUGCCACUUGCAAUAUUUCAUCCUUUUUAAUUCUUCAGCCGAUGGGAUCACAUGAUUAGGUGACAGCUUGAUUUGACCUUCCUGAAGUAGAAAGUCAAAUAUCCUAUCGGCCUUAGUGGUGUCAAACGCGAACUUCUCUUGUUCUUUAUGUCCAAAAGGACAAGACAUCGGCUUUUUAUUUUUCACCCAUUCUGCCAAGCCGAUGACUGGUUCUUCAUCAGAGUCCGAGCUUGCCGCUUCAUCCACAAAUGAUACCUUUUUAUUCCAUGCUCUCUUAGGUUCGAAAGGCUUGAUAUCUUGAUCAGAAAUCCUCUGCACCAAAUGACUUAAGCUUUCAAACUCCUGAGAUGCAUACUUGUCCCUUAUAUGUGGCAACAAACCCUGGAAAGCCAAAUCAGCAAGCUGCCGAUCAUCCAGAACCAGGCUAUAGCAUUUGUUCUUGACCUCCUAUAUCCUCUGCACAAAAAUUUCAACCGAUUCAUCAUUGCGUUGCCUCAAUUUGACCAAAUCGGUGAUCUUCUUCUCAUGGACACCAGAAAAGAAGUAUUUAUGGAACUGCUUCUCUAGAUCGGCCCAAGUAACCACCGAGUUGGGAGGUAAUGAUAUAAACCAAGUAAAAGCCGACCCGGAUAAUGACGACGAGAAUAAGCGAACCCUUAACUCGUCCCUGUUAGCAGCUUCUCCGCACUGGUUGAUGAACCAUUUGACGUGCUCCAUGGUUGACGUGUCAUCCUGCCCAUAAAACUUAGUAAAAUCCGGUACCUUGUACCGAUUUGGAAGUGAGAUCAAAUCAUAUGCGGGAGGAUGCGGUGUCCGAUAAGAGUAAGUGUUGACUUUGGGCUUUAUCCCAAAUUGAUCCCUCAUUACUUCAGCAAUCUUAUCGGCCCAAUAAGCAUCGGCAUCUUGCCGAUGAGGAGGUUGCGGAUCUGGCACCUGCUGGUAAGCUUCCACAUGUCGGUGCGGUGCGCGAUCUGCAUGGAACAUUGGAUUAAUCAUUUGGCCCCCAAUCUGCUGACCACCGAACUGUUGCCCGCCAAUCUGCUGUCCGCCGACCUGCUGCCCAAGAUUUAUUGGCUGGUUGGGCAUUCCCGGAUUCUGGAACCCAGGGUAGAUCUGACCUUGCUGAAAUCCAGUAGCCUGAUGAUUCUCUUGGGGCGUUUGCGGAAAGACUUGCUGCCCAAGCCAUCCACUAUUAGCACCCAUCGGCAUAAGUCCUGCCGAUGACUGGUAAUUGGGCAUGAUCAUUGAAUUGACAUACCCUGGCUGAGUCAUAAAUCUCUGUUGCAUCAGCAUUGAGUCUACCGAUGCGUUAGGCAUCUGAAACUUUGGAGCUUGAGAAUUCCCAGUGUGAGGUCUUACAGUAGUAGUUGUAGUAUACUAGGGACUUUGAUUCAUCGGCAUAUUGGGAGGUGCCGAUGCCAUAGGAGCCUUGCCUCUCAUAUCAGUUGCCUGAGAUGUGCCAGGUGUCUUCAAGUAUUCCGAGGGCAUACCAAAACCCCACCAGUUAGGAGGAGGGACUGGCCCUGACAUUGCUGAUGCCAAUAGAUCUGUAGUGAGCUUAAUCUGCACAUCUGAAGUCGGUGGAUUAGUUGUCAUUGGCAUAGAUUGUGCAUUAGUAACUCCUAACGUGCUUGGAGGAACGGUAGUCUGUGCACCCGCAGUGGCUGUAGCAGCCGAUGGAGCUGUGACCACCGGUGAUCCUGGCUGAUGAUGAGAGGGGCCCACAUAAUCUGGUGGCAAUUGUCCUUCCUUGAAAGUUCUAGCCACGACAUUGAAAACCGUAUUGGACAGCACACCAGCUUGGUUGAUCAAGGCACGGUUGAUAUCACUAUCGACCAUCUCUUGAAGUUUACCAGGAUUGGCUUCAAAAGUAACCUGCCGAGGCAUCGGCAGUGCAUCCUUCUGGAUCACUUCGCCACUCCUAUUCAUGCUGAAGGACCUCAGGCAUUGCUGCUUGUAAUCCUCCAUGGCUUUAGCAAUAGCUUGCUUCUGCUCAUCCUUGAGAUUGGCUUCCGUCACGGGGAUGACGUUCUCCUGAUCGAACUCAGAAGUCGACAUGUUGAUCUUGAUCUUGGAACUGGUCCCACUGGGCGUGCCAAAAGAUGUGUUGAUGCAAAAGUAGAUCUGCAAACAAAAAGGGCUAAUACCCGAUUUCAAACGUUAAGGCGUGCCAGCCGAUUUGACCUUACUAUCGGUAAAGGUGAUAACUCGAAUACUUUCGUCCCGACAACAGCGAUGCGCCCGGAUGCCACGGCCAAGAGGUAUUCACGCGGAACUUGAGAACACACCGAGCUUAAGUCGAUGGAUUCCUAAGAACUCAUAAAAAAAGGAAAAAGUAUGACGAAGUCGUCGAAAAAGUAGAUGCUGGAAUAUGAUUAAAAACUGAUGUUUGAUUGAUUGAUAGAUGUCUCAAUUACAAGGCCCUUGGGUCUACAUUUAUACCCUGCUCAUAGAGCUACAACCAGACACGACCAGAAUUUGAAAUCCAAAUUUAAACAGAAUCCGUGUACAAAACGAUUUAAAUAACUAAGGAAAACAUAAAACUAUCCUGCCGUGACAAACUGGGAUACCGCCAUAGACCAGCUGGCAACCUCCAAGUCUUCCUUCCACGUCAUCAGCAAACUCCCCAUCGGCAACAGUUAAUACUGGCAUCGGCAUAAACACAUCACCACCCAUGGACUUAGCCAUAUCCAACUGUCUCCUCAUCGGCAACUCUCCUGCAGACCAGUUACUAUUGCCCUUUCUUGCCGAUCUACACUCUACCGAUCCUGGGUACGUGUCCAAAAAACGGUGUCAACAGCUACAUAUUGAAGAAAGGCACUAGAUUGAGUAAAUUUGAAAAGAAAUGUGAUGAAGGUUUCUUGCUCGGUUACUCCACUACUAGCAAAGCUUAUAGAGUUUGGAAUUUGGCUAGUGGUACUCUUGAAGAGGUGCAUGAUGUUGAGUUUGAUGAAACCAAUGGCUCUCAAGAGGAAGAUGAGAAUCUAGAUGAUGUGAGAGGCACUCAAUUGGCCGAUGCAAUGAAAAAUAUGGAUAUUGGUGAUUUAAGGCCUAGAGAGGUGAUUGAUGUUGAAGAUGAAAAAUAUCAAGUGCUUCCUACAUCUAAUGUGCAAGCUAGUGGUUCUCAUGAUCAAAAUGAAGCUAGUACAAGUGGUACACAAGUGCAAGAUCAACAAGCUAGUACAUCAUCUCAUGAUCAACCAAGUGCAUGCAAUCAAAUACAAAUACUCCAACCAACAAAUAUUGCAAGAGAUCAUCCAUUGGAUCAUAUCAUUGGUGAUAUUCAAAGAGGAGUGCAAACUAGAUCAAGACUAGCAUCAUUUUGUGAGCAUUCUCCUUUGUGUCUCACAUUGAGCCAAAGAAGAUAGAUGAAGCUUUGAGAGAUGUUGAUUGGGUUAAUGCUAUGCAUGAAGAGCUUAACAACUUCAAGAGAAAUCAAGUAUGGGAAUUAGUUGAGAGGCCUAGUGAUCAUAAUGUCAUUGGUACUAGAUGGGUCUUUUGCAACAAGCAAGAUCAAGAUGGGAUAGUGAUAAGGAACAAAACAAGAUUGGUAGCACAAGGCUAUACUCAAGUUGAAGGUGUUGACUUUGGUGAAACAUAUGCCCCGGUUGCAAGAUUGGAAGCAAUUAGGAUCUUCUUAGCCUAUGCUUGUGCACAUAACAUCAAGUUAUAUCAAAUGGAUGUGAAAAGUGCAUUUCUCAAUGGCUAUAUCAAUGAAGAAGUUUAUGUUGAGCAACCUCGCGGUUUUGAAGAUGACAAGAAACCCAACCAUGUUUACAAGCUAAGAAAGGCAUUGCGUGGUUUGAAGCAAGCACCAAGAGCAUGGUAUGAGAGAUUGAGAGAUUUCUUACUCUCCAAAGGUUUCAAGAUGGGAAAGGUUGACACCACUCUCUUCACCAAGAAGAUUUGCAAAGACUUGUUUGUGUUGCAAAUAUAUGUCGAUGAUAUCAUAUUUGGAUCAACCAACCAAGAAUUUUGUGAGGAGUUUGGGAACAUGAUGGCUAAUGAGUUUUUGAUGUCAAUGAUUGGAGAGCUUAGUUACUACCUUGGUCUUCAAAUCAAGCAAUUGAAGAAUGGCACAUUUGUGAGUCAAGGCAAGUACAUAAAAGACAUGCUCAAGAAGUUUGGUAUGGAUGAUGCAAAGGCAAUUAGCACUCCAAUGGAAACAAAUGGAAGCCUAGAUAGUGAUACAAGUGGAAAUAUGGUGGAUCAAAAGUUGUAUCGGUCUAUGAUUGGAAGCCUACUCUAUGUGACCGCAUCAAGACCGGAUGCCAUGUUUAGUGUAUGCAUGUGUGCAAGAUUCCAAGCCUCACCAAGAGAAAGUCAUUUGAAGGCAACAAAGAGAAUAUUGAGGUACUUGAAGCAUACACAAAAUGUUGGUUUGUGGUAUCCCAAAGGUGCAAAGUUGAACUUGUUGGAUAUUCCGAUUCGGACUAUGCAGGAUACAAAGUUGAAAGAAGAAGCACAUCGAGCACAUGUAAACUAUUGGGUAGAUCACUUGUCUCAUGGUCGUCCAAGAAGCAAAAUAGUGUUACACUAUCAACCGCCGAAGCAGAGUACAUUGCGCCGGUAGUUGUUGUGCACAAAUUCUAUGGAUGAGGCAACAUUGAAGGACUUUGGAAUCAAUUUCAAACAAGUGCCAUUGCUAUGUGACAAUGAAAGUGCCGUGAAGCUCACCAACAAUCUGGUUCAACACCCAAGAACAAAGCAUAUAGAUGUCCGCCAUCAUUUCAUAAGAGAUCACCAACAAAAAGGGGACAUUUGCAUUGAGAGUAUACGCACCAAUGAUCAACUUGCUGAUAUAUUCAACAAGCCACUUGAUGAGAAGAGGUUUUGCAAGCUAAGUAAUGAAUUGAACAUACUUGACUUCUCAAAUAUGUGUUGAUGCACCCCCAUUAUAUGACAUGCCUCUCCUUCGAGCAAAGCAAGGUGAAAUUGUUUGACAUGUCAUCCAUCCUAUGCUAAGGACUUGUGUAGUGCAUCUAGUCACUACUUACAUGUCUUAGACUCAUUCAUGAAAAUCAAAUGAAUUUGAUGUUUGUAAGGUACCACUAUUCUUUUAUGCUUGACUUGAUCUAGUGGUAGCAUAUGACAUGUUUGUGGGCUUGCAAUCCUAGUGUUUAAUCAAGAAUAUGAGCUAUAAGUGUUUAACUCAACAUGGUACAAGAUAACCCUGAUUUGGAGGUGUGAAGAAGCUUGUCCUUGGAUCAAACCGAGUUAAAUAUCUUAGGCAAGUAACCUAGAUUGGACCAAUUUGGUAAAAUGAUCUCACUUCACAUGGUUUCACACUAACCUAUCUAAAAUUUGAGGUCACCUUUUGUGGUCAUUGAUGACAAAGGGGGAGAAAAUUUCCCAAAGAUUUAAUAUAGGGGAGUAACAUAAAAGAAGGGGAUCAUAAAAUUUUGAAGCACACAAGUAGAGGGAGCAAGCUCAUAAACUUGUAUGUUGCAUUUAAAAAUGUGCAUCACAUAUGUUUGCUUGCAUUUGCAUUAGCUUUAGAAACUUUCUCUCCAACACCUUGCUUGUCUGGUGUAUGUUAGUUAUAGUAUUGAUUGAUGAAAUGAAGAACUAGCAUGCAUAGGUAGUGCAACUAGACUUUUAGUUAUUUCACAAGUGGUACUAGAACCUUGUUUAUAAUGUUGAUCUCAUGAGGUGUUCUAGUCUUCCGAAUGUCUAGUUACCAAUGGUGCUAAGGAUGGUAUAUAUUGGCAACUCCGAUUGAUAUCACGCUUCAAAGUGCCAUUCUUUACACCUUAGCAUCAUUUGGUAGAAAUUGACUCCUAUUUUUCCUAUUCAAGCAUAUGUGCAAGCUUUCAAAUCCAAACUCUUAGCACAUAUGUAGGGGGAGAAAUUGCUACCAAUUUGGGUUUAUGAAACUUUUCCAUAACCUUUGCACAUGGUAAAAUGCUUGGGCAAGCAACAUGAAUCCAAGAAAUUUUUAUUGAAAAUUUUUGUAAAAACGGUUGUCAUCAAUUAUGAAAAAGGGGGAGAUUGAAAGCCCUAGUUUGGUUUUGGAUAAUUGAUGAAACCCUAGUACUAACCUCUAUACUAAGUGUGUGUAGACUUAAUAAGGUUGGUACAUUCCAAGUGAUGUUCAUGGUGAUGAUGGUGAUGACCACAAGGUGAUCAAGUGCUCAACUUGGAAAAGAAGAAAGAAAAAACAAAACCCUAUGGAGAUCAAGGCAAAGGUAUUGCUUAGGGUUUUGGUUUUGGUGACCAAGACACCAUAGAGGGUGUGAUCACAAUUAGGAUAGAUAGCCGUACUAUUAAGAGGGGUAAUCUCGUUGUGAAAACGGUUAUCUAAGUGCCACUAGGUGAUUGGAUUCCUUGCAUAUGCAUUAGGACCUAGUGAACUAAUUAAGUAACCCUUGAAAAAUGUUUUGAAAUAUGCUAACACACGUGCACAAGUGUUGAGACACUUUGGUGUUGGCACAUGGAAGCAAGGGAAGAAGUUGAGGAUCUUUUCGUGCAGCGCUUUUAGGCCGGACGCAUCCGGUAUGAGGUCGGACGUGUCCGAGUUGAGGCACCGGACUCAGAAACAAUUUCCACCUGGAGUCCAGUGUGUUUCGUUUGGUGAGAUCGCUUCUCGGUAAAGCUAAAGUCUGGUGCCCUGUCGUGUCAGAGGCAAUGGCUACUUUUCUAACGGUCAGGAGCACCGGACGCUGGUCUGGCUCACACCGGACGCGUCCGGUGUGAACUAGGACGGGUCCGGUGUGGACGCAGACAGUGGGAUUUUCUGCCAACGGCUAGUUGAAGCUUGGGACUUCUAUAAAUAUGCCUUGGCUGGUUCAUGCUCACCCUCUUGACUCUCUAACUUGUUGAUACAUCUUGUGAGCAUACUACCACACAUCCCACUCACCUUGUUCAAGUUUUGUUCAUCCAAAGUGAGAUUGGGAGAGAUCAUAGUUGCAUUUGCUUAGAGUUUGAGCAUCUAGUGGCAUUAGUGAUCGUUGAGCAGCGGGUUUGCUUGUUACUCUUGGUGGUUGCCGCCACCUAGACGGCAUGGAGCUGUGGAAGAGCUUUGGCACGAGUUGGUAAUUGUUCGUGGCCAUCUCCCGGUGAUUGUGAGGGGUUUCUGCCUACCUCGGCGGAGAGCCAAAGGCAACAUUAGUAGAUUGCUCGUGUCAUUGAGCUACCUCACCUGUGGGUAGGUUCUUGUGGUGUCCUAGUGAGGACGAGGUUCGUGCUACACCUCUUAGCCACCGAACCACCAAGUGUUGGUUGACACAACGGGGACGUAGCGUGCCGGCAAGCACGUGAAUCUCGGGAGAAAAAUUGGUGUCUCAAUUGUGUUUGAUUGGCAUUCUCCCGGUGCUUGAUUGUUUAUAUUGGUGAUUGGUUCAUCCCCUACAUGGCGGUAUAAAUAUCUCAUCCUAUCCUUUACUUACCACAAACUAGUGUAAUUUGUUUAGUUGCUUGCUUUGCCUUGUGUAGCCUAGUUCACUAGUGUAGCUUGUAGUGACAUAGCUCUUGUGUGCUUAGUGAUCUUAUCAACUAGAAUUGUUGGAUAGGUGGCUUACAAACAUCCCUUUAUAGCUAGAGCAAAAAGCUUCGCUUUGUUUUUUACUAACCUCUUGCUCUAGCGUGUUUGUGGAAUUUUUAAAUAGGCUAUUCACCCCCCUCUAGCCAUAUUAGGACCUUUCACUUGUCUUGCUUAAUUUUGUUAAGCUUAGCCUUCAAAAUUGCCAUGUUCUUUUUCUGAUCGGCUAAAGAUGUACGGAUCUAAGAUAAUGCAUCUUCCUUUUGUUUGAUGGCAUCCUCAAUAGUCUUCAGCUGAGCUAAUAGCUAUGUCCUUUCUUCAUUAAGAGCAACCAGAUCUUUGCUAAUUUCAGUACGAGUUUCUUUGAGGAGAUCGACUGUCUUAUUAACUGAUAGGAUUUCUUGAAUGCAUUGGCCUUCGGCAGCAACUGAGUAUUUCUGAGCUUCUCAAAUACCUAAUCUGGGGCCAUUGCCUUCCAAGAAUGCAGCUAGAUAAAUCAUCUCUUUCAAAGAAGAAAGAAGAUCAGCUUUGAUUUAGUUGAAAAUUUCUCUGGUGGAUCCUACAUCUUGAACCAAAGUUGAAACAUCUAAAUCUAGAUGGGUGAUCAAUCUUUGUAGUUGAGCUUUAAUAUAGUCAGGAAUCAUCGAUGGAGUAUCUUCUAAAAUCAGAACUGUUUCUUUAUCAAGAUAUUUAUCUAAGGAAAAUGGCAGAUCAGGUGAAGAAACUUGUUCCUGUGUUAAAGUGAACAGAUUAGUGUUUAUCAGAAGAUAUCAGUAGAUAAGAAUAAGUAGUUUUGACAUACCUAUUCCACUGAAACCAUGGUAGAGCUGGUAAUAGCCGAUGAAGUGACUUCAAUUAGUUGAAGGUCUAGAUUCAUGGAUUAAGUUAAUAUAAGUAAAAGGGUUUAUCCGCUACUAUAUGAGAUGUUAUCUGAAGAAACUUCUAGAAUAUUGCCCGGGUUGGGGAUAGCAUCAUGAUCACUGCUGGUAAAAGAUAAAUCCUCUGAGGGGUCAAAAGUUCAAGUCCCUUUCAGAUGAGGUCGUUGUUCCGAUCUUCACGAUGUAGGAUCUUGAUCUUGAUAACUUGCCGAAGAACGGCGGAUAACUUGCUGCAAGCAGUGAUAACUAGUGCAACCUGACGACACACACAAGGAGCCAACCACCAUCUCUUUACAGCAGCCUAAACCAAGGAUUUGCCCAACCACACUCUCAAAGAACCAACCUACGCAACCUGAACACGAAGAUCAAGAGCACGGAUUGGGUGCCGAUGAUGUGGCCACUUCUGUAAUAUCCACAAGGGAAAACACAAGAGCAAAGGGGUAGAGAAUCUCUCUCUGGUUUUGUUAGCACAAAGCUGAACAAAGUGGUCAGUAUUCUAAUUAUCAAAAUCUUAGUUUACAAUUAGUCUUAGGGGGUAUUUAUACUAGCAACAGCUUUGCUAGAUAGGUCUAAACAUGAGAUAGAAAUCAAAAGACUAAGAAUGUGAAAAGGCCUCCACAAAAUGGCUUCUGAAGUGGAAACGUGAGGCUGUUGGUCUUCUGGAAAAGCUGUCAGUAUUUUGGCAAUAACUCCAUUUUGGGAAGUCCAAAUGAUGCAUUGUUGGUUGCGUUAGAAAGUUAACUUGAUGAUCUUUCCAACCAUAUAUGCCAUGCACCAUGACACGUUAUAGAUUGGUACAGUUUUGAACAAAGCUUUGCGCUAAUUUCCUGAUGUGAGUGACUAUGACUUCUAGAGCAGUCUUCACUAAAUUGACUAUAUCUCGAGCAUAAGAUAUCCAAAAUAUAUGGAACUUCUCGCAUUGAAAAGUAGACUCCUUAAGCUUUCCAAAAUGUCCUCAUUAACCUUCAUAGCUUUCGGGAAUCGAACGUUAUGACAUGUUCUUUAGAGUGGUUGGUUCGGACGUCUGAACCAUCAACACUGAUAUGAUCGGGCGUCCGAACAUGCUGGUUCGAUUCCUCCUUAUUGGGCCGAUCCUCAUGGUCCAUUUCAUCCUUUUCUUAUGUAUUCCUGAUUACAAUUAACAUAGAAAACUUAGGUAGUAUAACAUUCUUAGAAAUAUUAAAAUUGAAAUCAAUUAGGAAUGAAUUCACCUGCUCUUGUAGUUUCUUGGUACGUCCUCUUGUAAGUGGCCCUUGAAUUGUAUCUUUUAGGUUGGAUGAUGGAUGAUUGACAUGAGAAAGAUCAAGCAUGGUUAGGAUGUCCUCAUCAUCCUCCCCCUCUUGAAAAGGAGUCGACCUCGACGACUCUAAAUCUUCUAGUCCAAAGAAUGGUGUUAAGUUAGCAACAUAGAAGGUUGUGCUAACACCAUACUCUUCAGGAAGUUCAAUCUUGUAAGCAUUAUCAUUGAUCUUGACUAGCACUCUGAAUGGUCCAUCUGCAUGUGUUUCCUGUAACAACAAGAGUCUGACACAACAAUGUGGAACACACUAUUUGUUAUCUCCACACAAAAAUCCAUCAUGUAUAUGAUAUUUUUCUCAUCCUUUUCCAGCUGUACAUUUUGCAUAUGGUUCUAAAAAUUCAUGAUCAGCAGGGUAUAAUUCUUUUAUGCUUUCAAUCCCAAGCACUUUUACUUUAAUUUGAUCCAGCAAAACAUUUUUACGGGAUAAAACAUUAGCAACAAUGUUUUCCUUACCUUUCUUGUAUUUCACAACAUAUGGAAAAGUUCCAAUGAAUUCAACCCAUUUGGCAUGUCUACGGUUCAGUUUUGAUUGGCCCUUCAAAUACUUCAAAGCCUCAUGAUCUGGAUAAAUAACAAAUUCUUUUGGUCAUAAGUAAUGUUGCCAAGUCUCAAGUGCUCUUACCAAAACAUACAACUCUUUGUCACACACUAAAUAGUUCAGUUGUGCUCCUCCCAACUUCUCACCGAAAUAUGCAAUGGGCUGUCCAUUUAGCAUGAGAACACCUCCAAUACCAAUCCCACUUGCAUCACAUUCAACCUCAAAGGUUUUAGUGAAAUCCGACAAAACAAGCAAGGGAGCUUCGUAUAUUCUUUUCUUCAGUUCUUGGAAAGCUUUGCCUUGUGGUUCACCCCAUUGGAAGGCAACACCUUUCUUUAUUAACUCGUUCAAUGUAGUAGCUAUGGUGCUGAAAUCUCUAACAAAUCUCCUGUAAAACCAGCAAGACCAUGAAAACUUCUCACCUGACUUACAUUUUUAGGAGUCCGUCAAUCCUUUAUUGCUUGCAGCUUUGAUUCAUCAACCUAAAUUCCUGAACCUGAAACAACAAAACCAAAAAACACAACCUCUUCUGUACAAAAAGUGCACUUCUCCAUGUUAGCAAAUAAUUUUUCUUUUCUAUGCAUGUCCAAAAUUUGCUGAGUAUGAGCAGCAUGUUCCUCCAAUGUCUUGCUAUAAAUUAGUAUAUCAUCAAAGUAAACAACAACAAAUUUUCGAAUGAAGGCAUGCAAGACAUGGUUCAUUAAUCUCAUAAAUGUGCUAGGUGCAUUAGUCAAACCAAAAGGCAUAACUAACCAUAUUCAUACAGCCCAAAUUUUGUUUUGAAAGAAGUUUUCCAUUCAUCUCCAAUUUUCAUUCGAAUUUGAUGGUAACCACUUCUCAAAUAAAUUUUAGAAAAUAUCAUAGAUCCACUCAAUUCAUCAAGCAUAUCAUCUAGCCUAGGAAUAGGAUGACGAUAACAAAUAGUGAUGUUAUUAUGGCUCUACAAUCUACACACAUCCUCCAUGAAUCAUCUUUCUUUGGCACCAAAAUCAUAGGAACAACAAAAGGACUUAAACUUUCACGCACAUUGUUGAUAUUUGGUAACGCCAUCAGGAAAUGAUCCGCGAGCGCACGGAUAUCAGUGAGCAUUUCACCCGGGAGGUUAUCCAGAGUAUCGUAUUUAUAUUUUUACCACUGGGAGAAAGCGUGCAUCUGACUAACUAAAUCUAUUGCUACUACCCUUUAGGCUACAAAUAAUGUGAUUCGAUGUGAGCGAUAUAUAGAGAAGACUACAACCGUAGUCUCGUUCUAACCUUGGUAAGGAUGAUCUACUGUUCUAUUGGGAAGGCUCAUGGAAUCUAGACACCACAGAGGAUGUUCGACCCGCACCUAUAAACCCUACCCAUCCUGCUAACGAGAUGUGGGCCGCAAAGGUAACUCAGAAAUGUCACGUUCCUCGCUACUACCACGAUCCAGCUAGUCAAGGGAUAUCUAUGAGUACCCUAGCCCAAACACCAUGUUUACGCUAGCAAUGAUUACUCUAAACUCAACCAGAAGAGAUUAAAGUAAACUCAUAAACCAAAGAACAACAAAACAAGAACUUACUAGAAUUUAGAAGUCGAAUUACUGAAGAAUCCUAGGAGCAAGCCUCGGGUUAGGAUAACUUGAUCCUGCAGGUACAACCUCGGAGUAGACACCGACAGGCCGGGCUUCCUCCGAUCUACACCUCCACUCUAUCUCUCUCAAUCUAGUAGAUCUAGUCUACUCUCACAUUGGAUGCUAAGCCCUAUGUCUAUUUAUAGGAGAGGUUAUCCUUCGAGGGCACCUCUCAACUCUAUGAUGAACUUGUUCUCCUCUAGGGGCCAGUGGGUCUGCUUAUAUAGUCCCCUCAAGUGAAUCUGGGCCGUCGGAUCAAACUGACAUUGAUUGAACGGUUAUCCUUGAUCCUUUAGGUCGGUGGAGCGUAAUCCGCGAGAUGGGUCCUAAUUGGACUCUGCACCAGGGCAGGCGCUAUAGGGGGGAGGGCGAGCGCCCUGCCCCCGGGCCCGAUCACCUUCUCGUUCGUUCCCGUGGCUUCUGGAGUCUUCUAGAUGAUAGAAAAUUGCGCGACACGUUAAUAUCUCUACGUAAACCCGACGUGUGGGCCUUUCUUCCGUACUUCCUGAUAACUCCUUGUAGAAAUAGACAAACACCAAAACUCGUGGAAUUCUGUCAGAUAAACCCCUAAGUCUGGGUGUUGGUUGCAUUUGGAUCCUUUUCUUUAUUUAUUUGAUGAUUAUAUUUGUACUUAAGGACCGUCAACAACUCCCCCAAGCUUACCUCUUGCUCGUCCCUGAGCAAGGAUGAACUCAAGAGUUUCUGCAGUGGUUUCAUGCCUUAAAAGUAAGAUCUCAUCUCUAAGUUAGAGUAAACUGUUAAGUCUUAAAACUUACUCAUUUUACCUUUCACCAUAGGGCUUGUAACCGUCACUUGUGUCUUGAGCAGUUAAAAGAUAGAACGGUCAAGUUAAGCGCCAUGUCUCUUGUUCUUUGAUUAACUAUAGCUCUGGAGUUUUUGCAGAUUUUCAAAUAAAACUUAGAAAUUCCUUGUAUGACUCUCUCAGAUCUCUCUUUUGUGGUAUUUCUGGAUCCUUACCAAGGCAGUAAUGGUAUAUGCCUUCUCUCAAAGUAUGUGGUAUUUUUGGUAUAAGGCAUAGUGAUAUUGCCUUCUCUCUCACCCUACUCUAAUAAGGUUUUGAUAUCUGGAGCUCAUAGGUGGGACACAGCUAAUACAUACUUACAAGACAUUUAUUUUAUAGUCAAACCAUGGAUCCAGAGAAACAAGUCAAUAAGUCAAAUCAAGAUGUGCAUGUAUGGCGAAUGAAUGGUGUAUGGUGAUGAUGGUGAUAACAAUGGUGAAAGUCUAAUUCUACCUUUGCUCUUUUUAGGGGAUACAUACCUUUCUUGCACCUUGAAGCUUUUUGAGGAGAAUGAGAUGCUCUAUAUUUUCUUUUUCUUUUUUCUCUAGGGUGGG